rnacentral:misc_RNA from 1 species
GAUGAAGAACGUAGUGAAAUGCGAUACGUAGUGUGAAUUGCAGAAUUCAGUGAAUCAUCGAAUCUUUGAACGCACAUUGCACCUCUCGGUAUUCCGGGAGGUAUGCCUGUUCGAGCGUCAUUUGUACCCUCAAGCUCUGCUUGGUGUUGGGUGUUUGUUCCGCCUCUGUGUGUGAACUCGCCUCAAAACAAUUGGCAGCCGGCGUACUUGUUUCGGAGCGCAGCACAUUUUGCGAUCCAGAUCAACGUACAGCGGCAUCCAAGAAGCCUUAUUUAACGCUCUUGACCUCGGAUCAGGUAGGGAUACCAGCUGAACUUAAGCAUAUCAAUAAGCGGAGGA